GGUGGCGAAGGCGGGACUCUGGGCUGUAACUGACACUGAGGAGCGAAAGCAUGGGGAGCGAACAGGAUUAGAUACCCUGGUAGUCCAUGCCGUAAACGUUGGGCACUAGGUGUGGGGGGCAUUCCACGUUCUCCGCGCCGUAGCUAACGCAUUAAGUGCCCCGCCUGGGGAGUACGGUCGCAAGGCUAAAACUCAAAGGAAUUGACGGGGGCCCGCACAAGCGGCGGAGCA
rnacentral:rRNA from 1 species